rnacentral:tRNA from 1 species
GGAGAGUAAAACGACCUGGUGGCGUUCUAGGACUUCAAAUCCUGUGGCGGGGCGGUUGACCGUUUCGCGGGGUGUUCGAUUCACUCACUCUCUCGCCA